UCCUUCUUAGCUCAGUUGGUAGAGCGCGUCACUAGUAAUGACGAGGUCAGUCGUUCAAAUCGGCUAGCAGGAA
rnacentral:tRNA from 1 species